rnacentral:rRNA from 1 species
UACGAAGGGGGCUAGCGUUGUCCGGAUUUACUGGGCGUAAAGAGCGUGUAGGCGGCCAGGCAGGUCUGUUGUGAAAACUGGAGGCUCAACUUCCAGACGUCGACAGAAACCGCUUGGCUAGAGUCCGGAAGAGGAGAGUGGAAUUCCUGGUGUAGCGGUGAAAUGCGCAGAUAUCAGGAAGAACACCGAUGGCGAAGGCAGCUCUCUGGGACGGUACUGACGCUGAGACGCGAAAGCGUGGGGAGCGAACAGG